CCUCCUUGUAUGGUCUUCUGUGAUCAGUUGCUGGUAUAUGCUGGAUACUUUGCCUGGUACAUCUGCGUCAGUGGUGCAAAGAUGUUCGAACCACGUCGUUUCCCUGUGUACUGCCUCUCUAUUGGGCAGGUUGUGGUAGAAGUGUCUUAGUUGUGCAUAGUGGUAUCUAUGCAUCAUCGUGUGUUGUUCUGUAGUUGACCAUUCUCGUAGAGUUCUCAGUCCUGCGUUAUUCAGUGCCCCUUUCAGGGGGAUGAAAUUUCCUUCAGAUGUUAUGGGCCAUGCAGUUGUCUGCAGUCCUCCUCCUAUCGCUUUGUUGUAUGUCAGUGGGAUUAAAGGGCUUGGUUGGGGUGAUAUGUGUUGUUUCUUCCUUAGAUUUGUCCAAGUUUUCAGCGUCUGUAUAAUGGGGGAUUCAUUACUCAGGUGUUGUUUAGCG